CUUCUGUGAGCUUACGUAUAACACCACAGUAGUGAUGGACUAAACUGCGAUUUUCCGACAUCAGUGAUUUCUGUGAAUGCUACUUUUCAGUAUCUGUUAUUCUUAACUGUGAUUUGUCGCAGUUAAGGAACCUAAGUCGCGUAUCCCUCCGCCACUGCUAUUUCUGUGACUUCUGCGACGUACCACCGUAUGAAAAAGUUACAUCUGUCCACACAGAAAAUUGCAUCUCAACAAACCUGUCAUUGGUACCUGAACUACAUUUCAGUCACUCAGUAAAGUGAUAAUUCAAAAUAUCAUUGUCAACAGAUCUGAAGAAAUUGCCAGUCUUUAGACCGUUUUCGUCAGACGAGAGACGCAGUUCUGACUGAUUACUGGUUGUACAUAUCUAUCCACAUCAAGGCUGUUGAGAGAGACUCGUGAAGAUUCAAGACAACUCUUAGAGGAUUUGCAGUUUAAAAGUGAAAUAAUUAUAAAAUAAGUGUGUGACUGAUUGAAGUGUUUUAUUGAAGUUGUUGUGCGAUUUUAAAGGAAUAAUAAAUGUUAAAUACAU